rnacentral:piRNA from 2 species
UCCAUAACAAGAUGAAGUAUAUACCACCCG